rnacentral:tRNA from 1 species
AGCAGUGUGGCCUAAUGGAUAGAUCACAGGUCUGGGAAUCUGAAGGACCUGGGUUCUACUCCCAGCUCUGCCA